rnacentral:rRNA from 1 species
UACGUAGGGUGCGAGCGUUAAUCGGAAUUACUGGGCGUAAAGCGUGCGCAGGCGGUCUUGUAAGUCUGACGUGAAAUCCCCGGGCUUAACCUGGGAAUUGCGUUGGAGACUGCAAGGCUGGAGUGUGGCAGAGGGGGGUGGAAUUCCACGUGUAGCAGUGAAAUGCGUAGAGAUGUGGAGGAACACCGAUGGCGAAGGCAGCCCCCUGGGUUAACACUGACGCUCAGGCACGAAAGCGUGGGGAGCAAACAGG